UACAGAGGUCCCGAGCGUUGUUCGGAUUCACUGGGCGUAAAGGGUGCGUAGGUGGUGAGGUAAGUCGGAUGUGAAAGCUCGGAGCUCAACUCCGAAAUGGCAUUGGAAACUACCUUGCUAGAGGGUUGGAGGGGGGACUGGAAUGCUUGGUGUAGCAGUGAAAUGCGUAGAUAUCAAGCGGAACACCAGUGGCGAAGGCGAGUCCCUGGACAACUCCUGACACUGAGGCGCGACAGCGUGGGGAGCAAACAGG
rnacentral:rRNA from 1 species